rnacentral:lncRNA from 10 species
AGGGCGAGGCCUGGGGUAGGGCCAGGAUAAGCCUCACUGGGGCAGGUCCUGGGUAGAGACCAGGUUGGCGGGUCUUGGGGCGGGGCCAGGAUAGGGCGAUCCUGGAAGCUGGGCUUCGGAAGCGUCCAGGUUGGUGGCGUCCUGGAGGCAGUGCCUUGCGUGGGGGCAGGAUAAGAGUCCUGGAGGCGGGCAUUAGGGCGGGGAUAAACGCCAUUGGGUUCAGGAGGCGGGACUCAGAGCAGAGCCCAGGAGACAGGUCUUAGGGCGGGGCUAAGGCCAGACCCAGAGAAGGGCUCAGGAGGCGGGGCAGGGGCGGGGCGUUGACUAUGUCUUGGCACAUGGCCAGGCGGUGCGCGGACUCUGGGAGGCGGAGCUUAGGACGGGCCCACGUGGGGAGGGGCCCAGGGUCCGGGAGGCGGUGCCGAGUCCCGGCUGGGCUGCGCUCAGGAGGCGGGCCCUGGGAGGCGGAGCUUAGGGAGGGGCCGGUGGCGGGAGGGACCCAGGGACUGGGAGGCUGGUCGGGGCUGGGCUCAGGGUCCGAGACCUAGCUGGGCUUGGGGCGGGGCCGAGACGGAGCGAGGGGUCCAGGGUGUGGGAAACGGGGAGGGGUUUGAGGAGAGGAUCGGAAUGUGGCUCAAGUUCGGGAGGCGUUACCUGCGGAGGGUUUGAGGCAGGCCCAGGAGCGAGCCCACGGUCUGCCUACGCGGGGCCAGGGGCGGGCCCCAGGAUCCGGAGCUUCGGGCGGGGCGGAGUCCGAGUUUGGGGCCCGGGAGGCGGGGCCAGUUAGGGUGAGGGUCCCUGGGAUCGACGGGUCAGGUCUUGGGCUAACGUAGGCACUCUCGAUAUAGACGUGGGGACAGAGUGGAAAACAACAAAAAUAUAAUUAUUUUAGUUCAAGUAGCAUGAAUCAGCCCUUCAUUCCAUAUUGUGGCUGAUUAAUGUUCCAUCACACGGGUGGACUGUACUUGUUUGCUUAUUCAUCUGUUGUUGAUAGACAUUUGUGU